rnacentral:rRNA from 1 species
AACGAACGCUGGCGGCAUGCCUAACACAUGCAAGUCGAACGAGACCUUCGGGUCUAGUGGCGCACGGGUGCGUAACGCGUGGGAACCUGCCCUUAGGUUCGGAAUAACUCCCCGAAAGGGGUGCUAAUACCGGUUAAUCUCUUCGGACCAAAGAUUUAUCGCCUUUGGAUGGGCCCGCGUUGGAUUAGCUAGUUGGUAGGGUAAAAGCCUACCAAGGCGAGGAUCCAUAGCUGGUCUGAGAGGAUGAUCAACCACACUGGGACUGAGACACGGCCCAGACUCCUACGGGAGGGAGCAGUGGGGAAUAUUGGACAAGGGGCGAAAGCCUGAUCCAGCAAUGCCGGGUGAGAGAUGAAGGCCGUAGGGUUGUAAAGCUGUUUUAGACGGGAUGUUAAUGACAGUACCGGGAGAAUAAGCACCGGCUAACUCCGUG